GGCCAGCUGGUCUCAAGUGAAAAGAAGGCAAACGUGAAUCUGAAAGACCUUUCCAAGAUUAGGGAGAGAAAGAGAGGCAAACCUGGAACCCGCUUCACUCAGAGUGACAGAGCUCCACAGAAAAGAGUUCGAUCAAGAGGUAAAAAGAAAAGAGGAUUGCACUUUCAAUAACUAAACAUCUAAUUUCUUGCGCUUUAUGCUAUAUUUUCAGUAAUAAACCUAUUUCUUUAAUUGUUUUAUGAAGCUGUACUAACUAUUGAAAAACGUAUCCUAUGAAGUCAUUUUCCAAAA
rnacentral:sRNA from 1 species